rnacentral:lncRNA from 1 species
AAAAGAUAGAGACAUAAAACAAAAAUUUAUCCCGGUAGAUUGAGCAUCCCACUUGGGGCAAUCUAAGCAAAAAUUAGGGCUAAUGGAAAGUAACUGAAUUCGGUUGGUCCUAGUCCUUUAGACAGUUUUGAGCAUGUCAUUUGGUUCUGAUUCAUUAUUCUCAACCAAAGCCAAGAGCAAAACGGAUAUUGAAGUUGGUAGGAGGAGUAGUGAUCAUUGUAUUCAAUGUAGCCAUUUUCCAUGUAAAUUACCAUUUU